rnacentral:lncRNA from 1 species
GCCAGUUCCCAGGUCUGGCUCAUAAAAUCACCUCCCUGGGUUAUUGCUCUUUUUUCUUCAGAUGCUAGUCGGCAGCACCUUGGGAGACUUAGGAAGGUAUAUGGUAAGGAUAGCAGAGUUUCUGUCAGCUUGGGACACUGAAGGACUGCAACCGCAUGGCACAGGAAAACUGUGCUCCUGCGUGGUUUCAAAAUAAGUGAGGAAUAAACUUCUGUGUGUUAAAUAUGGCAUUCUGUUAUUUGGAGGUUAGAAUAAAGCAUUAAUGUAGUCUGUCUUAAAAUCGAUUUUUUCCAAAUGAAGAUGUUUUUUCUUUUUUUUUUAAUUUUUCUUUUCAACGUUUAUUUAUUUUUGGGACAGAGAGAGACAGAGCAUGAACGGGGGCAGAGAGAGAGGGAGACACAGAAUCGGAAACAGGCUCCAGACUCUGAGCCAUCAGCCCAGAGCCUGACGCGGGGCUUGAACUCACGGACCGCGAGAUCGUGACCUGGCUGAAGUCGGACGCUUAACCGACUGCGCCACCCAGGCGCCCCUGUUUUUUCUUUUAAUACCAACUUAGGGAGAUACUAAUUGGAUGAAGAUGAUGACAAGGUCCUAGAGGAUGGGGAACUACGAGGUGGAAAAGCCUAGUCCCCAAAGUGCCACUUGAAAAAAAGCUGACAGCUGAUGAAGAAUACCUGCUUUAUAUAUUUUCAUCUCCAAGGCCAUGGAACUAAAGAGCAGUUAUUGCGGGGACAAAAUUUUCCAAGAGAAGACUCCAAGAGAGAGCAAGAAGAAAAAUCUUAUAUAUGGAGACUGCCUGUAUGCAGAAAGCUGUAUGAAAGACACUGGGAGAAGAAUGCCUUCAGAAAUAAGUUGAAGCCUCGUCACAUGCAUCCUUUUCACCCAGAAUUAAUGUUGGAUUGUAUAAACAAAGCUCACCUAUUACAUCGGCAGCAGAGCACCCUUUCUCCUUCUGGAAAUGACUACAGUCUCAGCGAGUAGUUGAGCAGUUACCAGCACCCCUGCAUGGCUUUUCCAGGUACUAAUUAAUCUGUUUUGGAAGGUAACAGCAGAAAGGUCCCAGGGGAGUAGGUUGGGAGUCUGUUGCGCUGAGCGAGUGAAAAUCAGAUUGGCUUGUAAAAAUAGAGAACUUUUAAGCCAUAGAACAUCUGUAGAUUGCACAAUAUGUAUUUGUUGUUAAUCUGCCAGUACACAUCUUUCUGACUUUUCCACUGAUAUGUUUCUUCCUUACAUAAUAUUAAAGGAAGGAAGAAUAAUGGUAGAAUUUAAGCACAUUUCUCUCGCUUAAUCUCAAAUUUAGGGUCCAGAAAAAUAUAGGGUACACG